UAGAAUGAAGCUCGCUGGGUUGAGCGUUUAGCUGUUAACUAAAAUUUUGCGGGAUCGAGGCCCGCCUUUCUAG
rnacentral:tRNA from 1 species